rnacentral:rRNA from 1 species
CUACGGGUCGCUGCAGUGAGGAAUAUUGCACAAUGGGGGAAACCCUGAUGCAGCAACGCCGCGUGGAGGAUGACGCAUUUCGGUGUGUAAACUCCUUUUAUAUGUCAAGAAAAUGACGGUAGCAUAUGAAUAAGCACCGGCUAACUCCGUGCCAGCAGCCGCGGUAAUACGGAGGGUGCAAGCGUUACCCGGAAUCACUGGGCGUAAAGGACGCGUAGGCGGGUUGGUAAGUCAGGUGUGAAAUCCUACAGCUUAACUGUAGAACUGCACUUGAAACUACCAACCUAGAGUAUGGGAGGGGGAGAUGGAAUUAGUGGUGUAGGGGUAGAAUCCGUAGAUAUCACUAGGAAUACCGAAAGCGAAGGCGAUCUCCUGGAACAUAACUGACGCUAAGGCGUGAAAGCGUGGGGAGCAAACAGGAUUAGAUACCCCAGUAGUC